rnacentral:lncRNA from 1 species
GGGGUUAGCCCGGGCGGGGCCCAGCGGCUCCCCGGAGGCCAGGCCACCGCUCCCUUCCAGCUACCCUAGCUGGGGCACCAGAGAGAGAAAUCUAGGGCUGCUGUGCAACCCGCCAACCAGGCGCUGUCUGGAGGUGCUACCUGUCCGUUCAGGUCACCUGUGCGGGCUGAGAGGUCUCUGGACGCCAGUAGCGCAGGGUGCGUUUUCUUUUAGGAACAGAAAGAGCAAGCUCACCCGGACACGCACACACAGGCACAAACGCACCCUGACGACCAGGACAUGCUCAGACUUAUGCCGAACCACAGCCACAGCCACGGAGACACACCCGCGCCCGCUCAUUCUGGAGAUGACAGCUGUCUCCUGGUCCAACAGAGAGGUGGCUGUAAACAAACCCAGGAACACCCAGAAGCAGGAGGAAAGAAACACACAUAAGCGCUCCUGUGGAGACAUGGAGUGCGGACCACUCAGACACCGGUGUCCACAUCCAGUUCUCCACAGGAUCCCUCUGAGAUCUCUCCUCCUGGGUCUGGGAUACCCUGGACUACUAUGGCCGAUGUCUCUGCCAACAGUGCUUCCUUUAGUUGAUGAUGUUAAAACAUUGAUAUCUGGACCAUCCUCAGACAAGCUGCCAGUCACUUCGCCAUCACCUUGGCAACCGUGAAGUGGAGCAGCGCAACCAGCAAAGCUCUCCAAACAGGUGAGCCGUGGGAAGCAGAGAGACAGAGACCUGGGGCAGCACUGCAGCGAAGCAGUUGCACAGAAACCCCAGGCCUUUGCAGAACCAGCAAAUUGGAGAAGGCAUCUGAUGUGAUAUUCGGAGAAAGCGUUUGGGCUCCAGAGAAGAUCCCUCUGGGAAUGGAAAAAAGAAGUGCCUGUCGUGGUGUUUGGGAGCGUGAGACGAUGAAGGGGUGUUCAGUGUUCUGUUUCUAGAUCUUUACAGCUCUACCCAGCUCCACACAUUUCAUUGCUAGAAAUCAAAAGAUAAUAAACUUUAAGUCUAUAAUCA